AACGGAUCCUUCGGGAUUAGUGGCAGACGGGUGAGUAACGCGUGGGAAGCUACCUUGUGGUAGGGAACAACAGUUGGAAACGACUGCUAAUACCCUAUGAGCCCUAUGGGGGAAAGAUUUAUCGCCAUGAGAUGUGCCCGCGUUAGAUUAGCUAGUUGGUAAGGUAAUGGCUUACCAAGGCGACGAUCUAUAGCUGGUCUGAGAGGAUGAUCAGCCACACUGGGACUGAGACACGGCCCAGACUCCUACGGGAGGCAGCAGUGGGGAAUAUUGGACAAUGGGGGCAACCCUGAUCCAGCCAUGCCGCGUGAGUGAUGACGGCCUUAGGGUUGUAAAGCUCUUUCAGCAGUGAAGAUAAUGACAUUAACUGCAGAAGAAGCCCCGGCUAACUUCGUGCCAGCAGCCGCGGUAAUACGAAGGGGGCUAGCGUUGUUCGGAAUCACUG
rnacentral:rRNA from 1 species